ACAACUGCCUAAGGCAGGACUGGUGACUGGGGUUAAGUCGUAACAAGGUAUCCCUACGAGAACGUGGGGAUGGAUCACCUCCUUUCUACGGAGUACAAAAGAGUCUAUUUUAUAGACUUAUUAACCUUAAUUACUAGACCUUAUUAAUUAUUUUGUUGUGUGCUUUUUUUAGGUCUGAAAAGCUUAUAUCUAGUUUUGAGAGAACAUUCUCUCAAUUGUUCUUUGAAAACUGAAUAGUAAAUUUUAAAAUAUUUACAACGACAUCAAAUAAAUUAAUUUUGGUUAAUUUGUUUUGAUUCAUCGAGUAAUCAUAUAACACAUAUGAUUCAUUGAAAUGUCUUAAAAUACACAUCAAUUAAAACUAACAAUAGGAACAUACAAAUACUUUUAAAUAAGGAAGAGUUUGUGGUGGAUGCCUUGGGUCUGAAA
rnacentral:rRNA from 1 species